rnacentral:rRNA from 1 species
GACGAACGCUGGCGGCGCGCCUAACACAUGCAAGUCGAACGAGCGAGCGGCGGCUUACUUUCUCACGCGAGUGGCGAACGGGUGAGUAACGCGUGAGGAACCUGCCCUAAAGAGGGGGAUAACAGUGGGAAACGACGGCUAAUACCGCAUAAGACCACUACCCGGCAUCGGGUAGGGGGAAAAGGUGCAAUUCGCGUUGAGAUGGCCGCGCGUCCGAUUAGCUGGUUGGUGAGGGAAUGGCCCACCAAGGCGACGAUCGGUGGCCGGACUGGGAGGUUGCCCCGCUGCGUUUGAACUGCGGCACAGACCAGUCUGCUACGGGGGGGAGGAGUGGAGAGUAUUGCACGAUGAGGGCUAACCUGAUGACGCGGCGCCGGGUGGGAGGGGAAGGGCUUCGUAUUGUACUCUCCGGUUGUUGGGAGAGAUAAUGACGGUACUCAAAGAGGAAGUGCCGGCUAACUACGUG